UUGAGUCUCGUAGAGGGGGGUAGAAUUCCAGGUGUAGCGGUGAAAUGCGUAGAGAUCUGGAGGAAUACCGGUGGCGAAGGCGGCCCCCUGGACGAAGACUGACGCUCAGGUGCGAAAGCGUGGGGAGCAAACAGGAUUAGAUACCCUGGUAGUCCACGCCGUAAACGAUGUCGACUUGGAGGUUGUGCCCUUGAGGCGUGGCUUCCGGAGCUAACGCGUUAAGUCGACCGCCUGGGGAGUACGGCCGCAAGGUUAAAACUCAAAUGAAUUGACGGGGGCCCGCACAAGCGGUGGAGCAUGUGGUUUAAUUCGAUGCAACGCGAAGAACCUUACCUGGUCUUGACAUCCACGGAAGUUUUCAGAGAUGAGAAUGUGCCUUCGGGAACCGUGAGACAGGUGCUGCAUGGCUGUCGUCAGCUCGUGUUGUGAAAUGUUGGGUUAAGUCCCGCAACGAGCGCAACCCUUAUCCUUUGUUGCCAGCGGUCCGGCCGGGAACUCAAAGGAGACUGCCAGUGAUAAACUGGAGGAAGGUGGGGAUGACGUCAAGUCAUCAUGGCCCUUACGACCAGGGCUACACACGUGCUACAAUGGCGCAUACAAAGAGAAGCGAUCUCGCGAGAGCAAGCGGACCUCAUAAAGUGCGUCGUAGUCCGGAUUGGAGUCUGCAACUCGACUCCAUGAAGUCGGAAUCGCUAGUAAUCGUGGAUCAGAAUGCCACGGUGAAUACGUUCCCGGGCCUUGUACACACCGCCCGUCACACCAUGGGAGUGGGUUGCAAAAGAAGUAGGUAGCUUAACCUUCGGGAGGGCGCUUACCACUUUGUGAUUCAUGACUGGGGUGAAGUCGUAACAAGGUAACCGUAGGGGAACCUGCGGUUGGAUCACCUCCUUA
rnacentral:rRNA from 1 species